UACGUAGGGUGCGAGCGUUGUCCGGAAUCACUGGGCGUAAAGGGCGCGUAGGUGGUGGCUUAAGCGUGCGGUGAAAGCUCGGGGCUCAACUCCGAGUCGGCCGUGCGAACUGGGCUCACUGGAGCAUAGUAGAGGCAGGUGGAAUUCCGGGUGUAGCGGUGGAAUGCGUAGAGAUCCGGAAGAACACCGGUGGCGAAGGCGGCCUGCUGGGCUAUGGCUGACACUGAGGCGCGACAGCGUGGGGAGCAAACAGGG
rnacentral:rRNA from 1 species